rnacentral:rRNA from 1 species
ACAUGAAGCUGGAAUCGCUAGUAAUCGCGGAUCAGAAUGCCGCGGUGAAUACGUUCCCGGGUCUUGUACACACCGCCCGUCACACCAUGGGAGUCGGAAAUGCCCGAAGUCUGUGACCUAACCGCAAGGGAGGAGCAGCCGAAGGCAGGUCGGAUGACUGGGGUGAAGUCGUAACAAGGUAUC